AAUAAAGCGGUGCAUGACGAUUGAGCGGGAAAGAAGCUAAACUGCCGCAGUGCCCAUCUGGUGGUGACGAUAAUCAUCAUGGAAAAGGCGGGCAGUGCAGAAACCCGCUCACCACCGCUUCUCAAGAGGCACGGGGUGGGGGGGGAAGAAACAAGAGCAUCGGAAAAUGCGUCUGCAGAAUUUAAAAUUACAUCGCAACGAAGGCGCGGGAAUUUUUUUUGUUUAUAGGGAAAAAAAACAAAAAAGAAAAACUACGUUCUUUCGGAAUGACCCGGCCGCGCGUUCCGCUCCUCUCGCAGAAGGGGGCUGGUGUGGGGGAGGGAAAACAGAGGUGACUCAGGAGCCAGUUGGAGGAGGUGGGGGGUUGGGACAGACUCCAUGCUGCCCCUCAGUGAGGGGAAAAAGAAAACCAUUCACCACCAAGAUGGCGCCGGACGCCUUCCUCCAACCCUGCCCCCAGCCGACAUUUUGUCUCUGCCAACGGCCGCACCACGCGCCUUUGCUGCAGCUCCUUCUCGGCGACAUUUUCAUCGAAAAUAAAGGGAACGAUGGGCUGAUCGCCACCCUUCACUUCAGUCUCGUUUUCUUUUCUAAAUGAUUUUUUUUCCGGGGAAAACAAAAUUCGUGUCCAGUUCUCCAGCAAGGCCUUAAAGCUCAACCCGAUUGAGUGGGGUGGGGGGGUGGUGUGAGGGGGUUGGGAGAAACCCUCGUGGCCUAAGUGCGGCCUCCUCGCGGCCUACCAACCGCCAAUGCUCCUAACGGCCGUUCUCGAGCUGCAGCGCGAGCGCCCGCAGGCCGCUUCCCGCCGGCGAAGCGGCCUCAGCUCCGGAGACUUGACUACCCUGCCCUUACCUGAUUACCCUGUCAGGAGAAACAAUGGGCUGUAUUUUUCCAGCCACUAAACAACGUGGGCAAUGUAUCCAUUCAAGCACAGAUGAUGCUGGACAGACAACAAAUGAUCCAUUUCAAGACAACAAGGUGCAGAGUUGGAUGAACACAGCAGGCCAAGCAGCAUCACAGGAGCAGAAAGGCUGACAUUUCGGGCCUAGACCUUUCAUCUGAUUCAAAAUGAUCCAUUUCAUUGUGUUGCCUUCAUUUUGUGCAUUUUUUGACUGAUAGAGGUUUGGGAUAACAUUUUUGCUUUGUAUGCUGUACCCCUAUAAGAAAAACACGUAACUGUUUUCUCCAAUUAUCCUGCCAAACUUCCCUGCUCUAUGGGAAGCACAAAUAGGAAAUUUGCAGAAAAAAAUUGUUGCAGAGUUGUGGAAUGAUGAGGAUAACUGCAGGAUGAUAGAUAUGUGGUUUGGUUAAGUAGACAGAAAAGCAACAAAUGGAAUUUAUUCCAGAGAAGUGAGACGUUAUGCAUUUAAGGAAGGCAAGCAUAGCAAUGGAAUACACAAUAAAUGGCAGAGCAUUAAAAGGAUAGAGGAAGUGGGAGACCAGGAGGUCUGUGCCCACAGACCUCUGGAGGUGGCAGAAAAGUGUUAAGAAAAGGUAUAUGGGAUUCUGUCCUUCAUUGGGUGAAGUCCUGAAUACAAAAACAAGGAUGAGAUACUGGAACUAUUUUGGAAACUGGUUAUGCAACAGGUGGACUUUUUUCUACACUUCUUGUCACUACAUUACAUAAAACAGAUAAUUAUU